rnacentral:lncRNA from 1 species
UGAAUAUAUACAGUAUAAUUUUCAGUAAAGAUAAAUCAGUAUGUCCUAACACAUGCAUUCAAAUGAAUACAUUAAGAAUACAUUCAAAGUAAAACAGCACCUUUUUUUGUUGCAGCAAGUAAAUUCUUAAAAUAAAUAAAAUGCACUUAAUCAGUAGCGGUGGUCAGUGCGGUCAUUAUACAUUGGGUUCACAGAACGUAAUGUAUGUACUGUAUGAUUCAAUACUUAUUCCAUAAGUCUACGGACCAAAAAUAUGGUUCAUUCUUUGAUUAUGUAGCGUUAAGUUAUACUAUCCAAACAAUACACUACAAUUUACAAUACAUAUACAUUCCCCAGAAAUCAAGUUCAUCAACACAGCAAGGAACAUUACAAUGUAGCCAAUGGCCAUACAUUUUGUCCCCAUAUCACUUAUGGAGAUUGAGAGCCACGGUCGCCCGUGGUGCAGUAGCUUGCUCAAGGGCACAACAGCAGGAGAUGGCAUCUAGGAUAGAAGAGCCAUAUAUGUAUGGCUCUGAUAGGAUACUGAUGCAGUUCCACACAACAACUAGCUCAGACAUUAAAGUUUAGGCAUUAACUCCACAUUUUUAAGGUUAGGGUUAAGUUUAGGCUUUAACUCAGAAAUCUUAAGGUUAGGCAUUAACUCUGAAUGGUUAAGGUAAGUGUUAAGGUUUGGUAUAGGCUUAAAAUAAAAAUCUCAAAAACGACUUUCUAUCACUGGAUUUGAACAUGUAACCUUUGGCACUAGCGGCAGGUAACCGAGCGGUUAAGAGCGUUGGUCCAGUAACUGAAAGGUCACUGGUUUGAAUCGCUGAGGCGACUAGGUGAAAAAUAUGUCGAUGUGCCCUAAUUUCUCCUGUAAGUCACUCUGGAUAAAAGAGUCUGCUAAAUGACUUAAAUGGAAACUAGUUGGUCGUGUAUGAGGGGAGUUUCCCCAAUACAAUGUAAACCACUUUGAGCAUCUGGAAAAGCACUACACAAAUCCAAUCAGUUACUUUCAUGAAUGAGUUUUUCUUCUUCCCCUUCUUCCAAUUCCGGUGUGUCUUCAACCUGCAGGUUGUUGUUGUCCCCGAUGAUGACAUACUGCAGUUGGGACCUGUAGAUCUGGACACUCCUCUGGAGCUCUGGAUCUGGACAGGCCUGUACUGCUCUCUGGUGAUCACUGGUGACGUUGCCUCCCAUUG